CCUCGGGUGGCAGCAGUGGGGAAUAUUGGACAAUGGGCGAAAGCCUGAUCCAGCCAUGCCGCGUGUGUGAAGAAGGCCUUCGGGUUGUAAAGCACUUUCAGUGGGGAAGAAAGCCUUGGGGCUAAUACCCUCGAGGAAGGACAUCACCCACAGAAGAAGCACCGGCUAACUCCGUGCCAGCAGCCGCGGUAAUACGGAGGGUGCGAGCGUUAAUCGGAAUUACUGGGCGUAAAGCGCGCGUAGGCGGUCUGAUAAGCCGGUUGUGAAAGCCCCGGGCUCAACCUGGGAACGGCAUCCGGAACUGUCAGGCUAGAGUGCAGGAGAGGAAGGUAGAAUUCCCGGUGUAGCGGUGAAAUGCGUAGAGAUCGGGAGGAAUACCAGUGGCGAAGGCGGCCUUCUGGACUGACACUGACGCUGAGGUGCGAAAGCGUGGGUAGCAAACAGGAUUAGAUACCCGGGUAGUC
rnacentral:rRNA from 1 species